GGUGUGGCUCAGUUUGGUAGAGCGCCGCGUUCGGGACGCGGAGGCCACAGGUUCGAAUCCUGCCACU
rnacentral:tRNA from 1 species